UGCCUUCAUGAAAGCCAAUGGCAGUAUCUUCACAGAAUAAUGCUUUUAUGAGUUACAAUCUUCAUGAUGUUGAUUUUUAAUAAGUCUCCGCCCAGAGGGCAGAGUCUAGCUAUCUGCGCAGAACACAAAUCCUUGGAAAAAGACUUAGCCCGGGCGGCGUACCUUCUUAUCAGCAGCCAGAGGGGCCUACUGCGACCCAGAACCUUCUAGAUCCUGUGAAAACCAGUUUCCUAUAUGUGGUCACUUGCUAUCAAGUACUCAGAUCAACUAUCUGCUGACUCAAAUGCGAGGGGAAUGAUUCAUGCCCAGUGAAUCAGACUCUUGCAAUCAAAGAAAAAGCUUGGCUGAGGUGGCUCUGUUUCACAUGUCCAUUCUGGUCCAAUCUGAAGGGGCAAUGACCACCUGGAGGAAGCUCUUCUCCUGGCAAUGUCAGCGUACAAGUACAGCCAACUACACAAGCACCUCUCAAGCCUUUGCUUGCAUCAUGGCUGCCAGCAUCCUAUUGGCCAAAGCAGGUGCUGUUUUGACUCAGAGGAAAGUCACCAAAGUGGACUGCUGUUUACAAGCCCAAGAGGCAAGAGCAUAGUCCUCAAAGCUGGGUCCCAGAACCUGGGAACCUACUGGAAAUGCAAAUUCUCUCAGACCCUACUGUAGACCUCCUGUUUAAUAAGCUGUCUGGGUAAUUCUGAUGCACCCUAAAGUAUGAGAACCACUGGUUUCAAAGGACAUUCUUCCUUAAAUAGAAGAAAAGCUACAAUGGAGGAAGGAGAGAGGCGGGCUUGCUUGUAAAGCCAGUGUACCGGGAGCUCACCAGAUUUCAAAAUCUAAAGUGAUGAGCUUUCUGCCAAGACAGAAGAUAGGGUGUUCUGUACUAUAAUUCCUGACUCCCAUUCAGAGACCAUCACGAUAAACUAUGAAGUCCCAUCUCAUUCUGGAAAGUUCUGAGAUUAGCAUGGGGGCAACUGGGUAUGUAUUAAGAACCUAUUAUUUAUGCGAGACUCUGAGUAAUGCACUCGGCAUGCAUGGUCUUACUUCACAUUUACAGACCAGCUUAAAUUAGGCGUGAUCACUUCUCUUUUUCAAAUACCAGGACAGGCUCAGAGGGAUUCAGCAACGUCCACAAGUUGUGUCCCACACAACCAGGAAAAGACAGAGCUGAAUUUAUAGCCAGAAGGAAGUGAGUAACAGGUGGUGUUUACGUGUAAGAUUUAUAUCAAUUGUUCCAGGUUCAGGGUUGAAUCUCCUUGGUUUCAGGAUGGCAACUCUAAAAUAAAACGCUCUCUAACCUUUUUUUUUUUUUUUUUUUUGAGUU